rnacentral:sRNA from 1 species
ACUGUACUGGUCAGUGUUCCGACUAAGAGUCUCCUCUGACAUGCAUCAACAACAGCAACUUGUGAUUGGCGGUGACCGGAUAUUCAGUUGCACAUCCC